AUAGUCUUAUACUUUCAGGAGAUUCUGAUUUACAACAUUCCUGCCAAACGCUUUCAAAAAAAAAAAAAUCAUCCUCCUAUUUUUCAAUUUUAGAGGAACAAUUAGUGCAUUACCGAUUUACCGCACUAGAUCUUUUCACUUUUACACUGCACCUUCUCUCUCUUCUAUUAGCGUUCUCUGACUUCUCCAUCGAAGCGGCUUCUGAUCCUCUCCUCCAUUGAAGCAAUUUCUGAGGAUGGCAGAGCAAGAGGCUCCAUUUUUCCCAAGGGAGAAGAUUCUUGAGAGGCAAAAGUAUUUCCAAAGCGUCCAGAAGCAUACAUAUCUAAAAGGACCCCUCGACAAGGUCACCUCUGUUGCCAUUCCUAUUGCUCUUGCGGCUACAUCAUUAUUCCUGAUUGGUAAAGGGAUCUAUAACAUGUCUCAUGGAAUUGGGAAGAAAGAAUGAUGAGGCAAUAUUGCUUAUUGGCUGCUAAUAGGAUUGGCUAUGACUUGAUAAUUAUGUUGAAAUAUGCUUUCAAAUUGUAGUUUUGUUUUCAUUUCAAAGUUCCUUUGGCUGCCUUUUUGACAAUAAUGCAUUAAUUCAUGAUAAUUGUAUUAUUACUGUUGGAUGCUGGGUUUUUCUUUAAAUUGUGUACCCAUCAGGCCUUUUGACUCUGGUGCUGCAUAUUGCUUGGUAUUGAAAAGCAAUGCUUUUGUGCUAUUUGUACAUUUGUUUCUGAUUUUGCCGAAAA